rnacentral:rRNA from 1 species
UCCAGACUCCUACGGGAGGCAGCAGUGGGGGAUAUUGCACAAUGGGGGGAACCCUGAUGCAGCGACGCCGCGUGGGUGAAGGAGCGUUUCGGCGCGUAAAGCCCUAUCGGCAGGGAAGAAGGAGGACGGUACCUGACUAAGAAGCCCCGGCUAACUACGUGCCAGCAGCCGCGGUAAUACGUAGGGGGCAAGCGUUAUCCGGAUUUACUGGGUGUAAAGGGGGCGCAGACGGCAGCGCAAGCCAGGAGUGAAAGCCCGGGGCCCAACCCCGGGACUGCUCUUGGAACUGCGCGGCUGGAGUGCAGGAGGGGCAGGCGGAAUUCCUGGUGUGGCGGUGAAAUGCGUAGAUAUCAGGAGGAACACCGGUGGCGAAGGCGGCCUGCUGGACUGCGACUGACGUUGAGGCCCGAAAGCGUGGGGAGCAAACAGGAUUAGAUACCCCGGUAUC